rnacentral:rRNA from 1 species
AUUGAACGCUGGCGGCAUGCUUUACACAUGCAAGUCGAACGGUAACAGGCCUUCGGGUUCUGACGAGUGGCGAACGGGUGCGUAAUGCUUCGGAACGUGCCCAGAGGCUGGGGAUAACGCACCGAAAGCUGUGCCAAUACCGCAUGUGACCUGAGGAUGAAAGCGGCGGACCAGGCAGCAAUGUUUGGCCUUUCGCCCUUUGAGCGGCCGAUGUCAGAUUAGUUAGUUGGUGGGGUAAAGGCCGACCAAGCCGACGAUCUGUAGCUGGUCUGAGAGGACGACCAGCCACACUGGGACUGAGACACGGCCCAGACUCCUACGGGAGGCAGCAGUGGGGAAUUUUGGACAAUGGGCGCAAGCCUGAUCCAGCAAUGCCGCGUGCGGGAAGAAGGCCUUCGGGUUGUAAACCGCUUUUGUACGGAACGAAAAGGCUCUGGCUAAUACCUGGGGCUGAUGACGGUACCGUAAGAAUAAGCACCGGCUAACUACGUG